AUGACAAUGGAGGCCUUCGUCAUUGACGGAGGAAAUGAUGGGACAGCUGCCCGUUGGGGUUUGCGGCCUGUCACAGGUGAUCGGUCGUGGGGGUCGUACAUGAGGUUUGCAAGCAAUCCCAAUAACUCAAUGUAUGGUCAGCCGAUGGUGUAUGUGGAGUUCAUUUCAGUCACUGAUGUUGCCGGAUGCAGUAGCAGGGGUGGUGAGGUCGAGUUGGCCAUCACAUCAGCCCCUAGCAUCGGCCCAUCGGAACCGACGGGCGGCCAGCCUGUGUAUGACACAGGAUAUUGGUCGGCGGCCGUUGACAUGAGCGAACACGUGGAGGGAUUGCCGGAGGCGCUAGAUGAUGAUGAUCAUUCUUCUGCGUCUUCGGAGUCAAGCGGAGAAGAAGAUGUUCCUCCUCAGAGGGCGGUCGCGGCGGCACUACAACCUGGGUUUUUACAGGAUAUGAGCAUCACCAACGAAUUUCACUCUGCUUCUGGCCUAGGAGCGGGAAGCCUGGAGGUUGGGCAAGUUUUCCCAGAUAAGAAGUCUGCUUACCAGGCAAUGGGUAGCUAUGCAAUCAGCAUCCACCGCCAGCAUAGAGUGAAGCAGUUUGAUAAAAAAGAGUUGAAGGUCAUAUGCAUCCACACCGCGAAAGGUUGCCGCGGAAGAUUUCUCGCUAGACUGAAGCCUGGGGUAUGUCAGUCAUGGCAUAUCACAAAAAUAGUGGAGCAUACCUGUGAGCAAACUGGGACUCUUUCAGAUCACUGCAAUGUGACAGCAAAAUUUGUGGCACAGACGAUGGAAACAAUUGUGCAGGGAAGUCUCAACAUUAGUGUUAGGGCUCUGCAAAAAGAUGCAGAGGAUCUAAUUGGAUUCCCUGUUAGCUACAGCAAGGCUAGGCAUGCGAAGGAAAAUAUAGUCAAGAACUUGUAUGGUACCUAUGAGGAGGCAUAUUCUUAUGCCCCUAGAAUGCUUCAUCAAAUAGCAAGUGCUAAUAGGGGGACUCAAGUUUGGCAGAGAGAACGUCCAAACCCAAUGAACCCGGGUGAGCUAAUCCUGGACCGCUUAUUCUGGGCAUUCGCCCAGACUAUACAAGCCUUCAGGCACUGUCGCCCGGUAUUAUCUGUUGAUGGUACCUUUCUCACUGGAAAGUACAAGGGCACACUAUUGGUGGCGAUUGCAGCGGAUGCAAAUAAUCAGCUUCUUCCUAUUGCAUAUGCAUUGGUCGAGAGCGAGAACAAAGAUAGCUGGUUGUGGUUCCUGAGCUGCGUGAAGAUUGGUGUCGUGAAAGAGCGUAAAGGUGUUUGCAUCAUUUCUGAUCGCAACACUGGAUUAUUAAGCGCUCUUGAAAUAAUUAAGGCGUCGGAAGAAGAGUGGGGCUGGCCCGAUCUAGAGGGAAGGUGGUGCAUGAGGCAUUUGGCAGCAAACUUUUACUCCAAAUUCAAAAACAAGGAUUGGUUCAAGUUAUUCAAGAGGAUGUGCAUGCAAAAAACUGAAGCCAAAAUGAAUGCGAUAUGGGCAGGUAUCAAUGGUGAGAUCGACCGCGCGGCCUUGCCGCAGAGAGAAGACCGGAGGGGUCGUAGGACAGCCAUAAAUUUGAGCCAGUGGAUCACCGAGAAUUGCCCUCAUUUGGAGAAGUGGGCACAGGCUCACGACACCGGGGCUCGGUAUGGAAUAAUGACCAGCAACAUGUCAGAGGUGUACAAUGGUGUUCUUAAAGGGGUGCGAGCACUGCCUAUCACAGCCCUAAUUGAAGAAACUUGGAACCGGACCCUGUCAUACUUUGCAGACAGGGUCACCGUCGCCAAAGCACAAGUUGAAUUGAACAAGCCAUGGUCCGAGAAGAUGCAAAGACAUCUGGACGAGAAAGCAAAGAAGUCCCAAAGUCAUGGCUGCAGGAAAGUGGACGCACUUAGGAAUAAGUGGGAGGUCAAUGUGCGAGCCAAGUACGUUAAGGGUCACCACAGAGGAUCAAAAAAGCAAGCUGUCACCCUUGGCUCAACCUCCUAUGAGUGCACUUGUAACAAGCCCAAGCUUGAGGGCUACCCUUGCAGUCAUGUGCUCCGGGCGGCUGCUGUUCAAAAAAUCAGCGUCGAGCCAUACAUAUCGCCGUACUUUAAUAUGUACAAUCUGUACAACACUUGGAACGGUGAGUUCUGGGCUUGGGGCAUUGAUAUGAACUACAAAAUGUUGUGGCCAGAUGGGCCGAAAUGGGUUCCGAACACCGACUUGAUGAGAACCGCAAAGGGACGACGUCAAUCUAGGCGUCAUCGCAAUGACAUGGACCAUAGCCAGAUGGGAGAACCAAGGCGAUGCCGCGUUUGCAGGUGUCCUGGACAUUCACGCAAAGACUGCCCGUAUCGAGCCAACAACAACGCAUGA
rnacentral:rRNA from 1 species